UACGUAGGUGGCAAGCGUUGUCCGGAAUUAUUGGGCGUAAAGCGCGCGCAGGCGGUCCUUUAAGUCUGAUGUGAAAGCCCACGGCUCAACCGUGGAGGGUCAUUGGAAACUGGGGGACUUGAGUACAGAAGAGAAGAGUGGAAUUCCACGUGUAGCGGUGAAAUGCGUAGAGAUCCGGAGGAAGACCGGUGGCGAAGGCGGCCUGCUGGGCAGAUACUGACACUGAGGCGCGACAGCGUGGGGAGCAAACAGG
rnacentral:rRNA from 1 species